rnacentral:rRNA from 1 species
AUUGAACGCUGGCGGCAUGCUUUACACAUGCCAGUCGAACGGUAACAGGCCGCAAGGUGCUGACGAGUGGCGAACGGGUGAGUAAUGCAUCGGAACGUGCCCAGUCGUGGGGGAUAACUACUCGAAAGAGUAGCUAAUACCGCAUACGAUCUAUGGAUGAAAGCGGGGGACCGUAAGGCCUCGCACGAUUGGAGCGGCCGAUGUCAGAUUAGGUAGUUGGUGGGGUAAAGGCUCACCAAGCCAACGAUCUGUAGCUGGUCUGAGAGGACGACCAGCCACACUGGGACUGAGACACGGCCCAGACUCCUACGGGAGGCAGCAGUGGGGAAUUUUGGACAAUGGGCGCAAGCCUGAUCCAGCAAUGCCGCGUGCAGGAAGAAGGCCUUCGGGUUGUAAACUGCUUUUGUACGGAACGAAACGGCUCUGGUUAAUACCCGGGGCUAAUGACGGUACCAUAAGAAUAAGCACCGGCUAACUACGUG